rnacentral:rRNA from 1 species
GACGAACGCUGGCGGCGUGCCUAAUACAUGCAAGUCGAACGCAGUGGGGACGGGUGAGUAACACGUGGGUAACCUCCCAUCAGAGGGGAUAACACUUGGAAACAGGUGCUAAACCGACAUUGAUGGAGGGACACGCGGUGCAUUAGCUAGUUGGUGAGGUAAUGGCCCAACAAGGCCACGAUGGAUAGCAGACCUGAGAGGAUGAUCGGCCCCACUGGGACUGAGACACGGCCCAGACUCCUACGGGAGGCAGCAGUGGGGAAGCUUCGGCAAUGGACGAAAGUCUGACCGAGCAACGCCGCGUGAGUGAAGAAGGUUUUCGGGUCGUAAAACUCUGUUGUUAGAGAAGCGGUAUCUAACCAGCAAGCCACGGCUAACUACGUGCCAGCAGCCGCGGUAAUUC